UGAAUACGAGAUGCUACGGCGUCGAAGCAGUCUAUGUCAUACUUCCAAGAAAAGCUUGCACUGUCAUAAACAAAUAAUGCCUGUACCAUAACCGACACAGGUGGGUAGGUAGAGUAUACUAAGGGGCGCGAGAUAACUCUCUCUAAGGAACUCGGCAAAAUGACUCCGUAACUUCGGGAGAAGGAGUGCCUUAUUUAUAAGGUUGCAAUAACAAGAUCCAAGCAACUGUUUACCAAAAACACAGGUCUCCGCUAGGUCGUAAGACGAUGUAUGGGGGCUGACGCCUGCCCAGUGCCAGAAGGUUAAAGAAGUUGGUUAGCAUCCGCGAAGCUGAUAACUGAAGCCCUGGUGAACGGCGGCCGUAACUAUAACGGUCCUAAGGUAGCGAAAUUCCUUGUCGGGUAAGUUCCGACCCGCACGAAAGGCGUAAUGAUUUGGAUACUGUCUCGGAGAGGGGCUCGGUGAAAUAGACUUGUCUGUGAAGAUGCGGACUACCUGCACCAGGACAGAAAGACCCUAUGAAGCUUUACUGUAACCUGAAAUUGAAAUUGGACUUUACUUGCGCAGUAUAGGUGGGAGGCGUUGAGAAUAUUCUUGCGGGAUUAUUGGAGCCAUCAGUGAGAUACCACUCUUGUAAUGUUAGAUUUCUAACUUUGUAUCAUUAUCUGGUCAAAGAACAGUUUCAGGCGGGCAGUUUGACUGGGGCGGUCGCCUCCUAAACGGUAACGGAGGCGCACAAAGGUUUCCUCUGAACGGGUAGAAAUCGUAUCUAGAGUGUAAAGGCAUAAGGAAGCUUGACUGUGAGACCUACAAGUCGAGCAGGGACGAAAGUCGGUCUUAGUGAUCUGACGGUGCUGAGUGGAAAGGCCGUCACUCAACGGAUAAAAGUUACUCUAGGGAUAACAGGCUGAUCUCCCCCAAGAGUUCACAUCGACGGGGAGGUUUGGCACCUCGAUGUCGGCUCAUCGCAUCCUGGGGCGGUAGUACGUCCCAAGGGUUGGGCUGUUCGCCCAUGAAAGCGGUACGCGAGCUGGGUUCAGAACGUCGUGAGACAGUUCGCUCCAUAUCCGGUGUAGGCGUUAGAAUAUUGAGAGGAGCCUUCUUUAGUACGAGAGGACCGAGAAGGACAUACCUCUGGUGUACCAGUUAUCGUGCCAACGGUAAACGCUGGGUAGCUAUGUGUGGAGUGGAUAACCGCUGAAAGCAUCUAAGUGGGAAGCCCACCUCAAGAUAAGUAUUCUCAU
rnacentral:rRNA from 1 species